rnacentral:misc_RNA from 1 species
UUGACACUUUUUGCAGAUGGA